rnacentral:rRNA from 1 species
CCUACGGGAGGCAGCAGUGGGGAAUAUUGGACAAUGGGCGAAAGCCUGAUCCAGCAAUGCCGCGUGAGUGAUGAAGGCCUUCGGGUCGUAAAGCUCUUUUACCAGGGAUGAUAAUGACAGUACCUGGAGAAUAAGCUCCGGCUAACUCCGUGCCAGCAGCCGCGGUAAUACGGAGGGAGCUAGCGUUGUUCGGAAUUACUGGGCGUAAAGAGUACGUAGGCGGUUAUUCAAGUCAGAGGUGAAAGCCCGGGGCUCAACCCCGGAACUGCCUUUGAAACUAGAUAACUAGAGUCUUGGAGAGGUUAGUGGAAUUCCGAGUGUAGAGGUGAAAUUCGUAGAUAUUCGGAAGAGCACCAGUGGCGAAGGCGACUAACUGGACAAGUACUGACGCUGAGGUACGAAAGCGUGGGGAGCAAACAGGAUUAGAUACCCUGGUAGUCCACGCCGUAAACGAUGAUAACUAGUUGUUCGGUCACUUGGUGACUGAGUGACGCAGCUAACGCAUUAAGUUAUCCGCCUGGGGAGUACGGUCGCAAGAUUAAAACUCAAAGGAAUUGACGG